GCAGGCGCCCUCGCGUCUCCGGACUCCCCGACCCCGACCCUGCAGGUGUGGCUAAGGGGAGCGAGCGGCUCUUACUGGUACCGGCGCCGCGGAAAGGCCGCGGUCUCUCUCGGCGGAGAGGAAUGCAAGCUUCAAAGAAUAAAAAUACAGAAGAGGCAGAACCAUUCUACAAGCUUUCAGUGCCAAAGGAGAAGACUAGUUCUGAGAUUAUAAGUGAAGCCAGAAAUUUUCUACGAACACUGAGAACUCGGAGACCAUUUACACCUACAGAAGAACAAAGGAGACUUUUUGGAUCUGGAUCCUCACGAGCUCCUCAAAAUAGACCCCCUUCAGUUUUUAGUCUUCAUGCAUCCAGUUUUGAUUUGGCUGAAUCAAGACCACUGUCUGGUGUUCGUCUUAGCCCACUGAAACAUAAACCGGUAUUAGUCACUUCUGCAAAAGAUGAAGAUUCUUCCAUUUCCUUUCCAAAAACUCUUGCUGAUGCUGCAGAGAUCAGAAAAGUCAGCAAUGCUCGGGCACACUUAUUUAGAAGAACUUCUUGGGGAAACUUCCUUUUGGCUAAAACGGUGCCUUCUGAUCAGAAGGAAGAGAAGCUAGAUUCUGAACAACCAGCUAUGAUGAAUAAUCUUUGCAGGACUAAUAAUGACUGCUUAGCAGAGCAAAGGUCAAACACACCAUGGAAUGGUGAAAGCAGACAAUUAAUUUGUAAUGAGCAUGUCAGCGGAUUGGAGAGUAGAGACUUCUUAAAAGGGACAGCUGGAAAACUUUUGUUUCAAAUGAGAGGAGAAAGAAGUGUCAGCAGUGAUGGCAAAUUUGCUGAUGAAGAGCAACAGUUUCCCUGUGAGCAGAUGAAAAAGCCAGGCACAAGUCCGUCAUGGCCAAGAAGUACAGGCUGGAAGGGAAGAGAAACAGGCUUACAAGUUGAAAUGGGAAUAAAAGAAUCACAAGAGGAAGAAAUCUUUUGGCAUUUAAAGAUUCUACCAAUUCUUCAUGAACUGGAAAAAGAAGACAAUGUAGAAAAUCUUUGUCUGGCUUGCACCAAGCUCUAUCAAGCCCUGGAUGAAGAAAAUAUGCUUGGAAAAAGAUUUAAAAGAAGAAAUAUGCUUCUGAAGAUAUUAUAUAAACUUGUAGACAUUGAUUCAGACCCACUUUGCCUAAAGCUGGCAAAGAUUAUUCUGUCUAUGAAAGUGGAUGGAAAAAAUCUUCUCAGUGUUUGCAAGCUUGCAUUUAAAAUUUGCAGGAAUGAAGAAAAUGAUUACAUCAUUCAAAAUGAUGGUUUGUUGGAUUGUUUGUUGGAGGUUCUGAGAACUGAAGAUCUACAAAAAAACAAUGAAGCUCUCUUGUAUUGCAUGGGAGCUAUAAAAUUCAUGUCUGGAAAUGCAGUACUCCUUAAUGAAAUGGUGAAAAAAGGAGCUGUUGAAAUGUUGCUGCAAUUAAUGAAGCAGAUUAAUAAUAUAAAAGAAAAUGACAGAUAUUUCUCCAACUUGGGGCACCUAUUAGUACAGCUGACAGCUACCUUGCGAAACUUGGCUGACUUGGCUCCGGCGAGACGCCAGCUCAUUCGCAGUGGUGCAGUCUCUGAGCUCUGUGUGGCGCUAGAGCAGCGCUUGAGGGAUAAGGAUGUGUGCACCUACCUUGUCAGGAUAUUCAGCAAACUUUCUUCCUACAAUGAUUUCUGCACAGCUUUAGCAGACUGCUCCAGAUGUUAUGUCUUAUUUUUAGCCCUACUAAACAAACACCAGAAACAGCAGGAUUUGGUUAUCCGUAUUCUCUUCAUUCUUGGUAAUUUAACAGCAAAGAAUGACCAGCCCCGUGAGCAAUUUUUUCAAGAAAAAGGAAGCAUUAACACCUUGAUAUCAUUAUUCCAAACCUACCAUGAACUUGAUUUGAAUACACAGAAAUGGUACCAAGGAAAAGGAAGGGAAGAAAAAAAACAACCAAAGCAUCCUUCAGAAGCAGAAGAUGUUCUGAUAAAACUGAUAAGAGUGCUGGCCAAUGUCUCUGUUCAUCCCAGCAUAGGAGCAGCUCUGGCAGUUGCCCAUCACGUUGUAGAAUUGCUUGUUACAGUACUAGAAUACAAGUCAGUUGAUGAGUGUGAGGAGUUGGUCAUCAAUGCUGCAAUAACAAUCAACAAUUUAUCCUACUACAAAGUGAAGAGUUCUGCUGUUCAAGACAAAAAGCUACACAUUGCUGAAAUGCUUUUAAGGCUGUUAAUGAGCAACAGUAUGGAUGGAGUUGUGGAGGCUGUCAGAGCAUUUGGCAAUCUUUCCCAGUAUCAUGAGAUCUGUGACUUCAUCAUACAGAAAAAGAUACACAAGUUCAUGAUUGCUUUGCUUGAUGCCAAAAAGCAAGAUGUCUGUUUUUCUGCCUGUGGAGUUCUGCUCAAUCUCACAGUAGAUAAGAACAAACGAGCAUUUCUGAUGGAGGAAGGAGGAAUUGGAAAGUUAGUUGACUGUUUACAAGACUUUGGGCCAUCAGAUUGGCAGCUGGCUUGUUUGAUAUGCAAAACCCUGUGGAACUAUAGUGAAAGCACCACAAGUUCGGCCUCAUGCUUUGGAGAAGAUACUGAGACGUUGCUGGUGCUGCUCACAUCACUCAUAGAUGCAGAACUAGCGCUGGAUUACAGCCUCGAUGGAGAUGUAAGGGACUACCACAAACUGUAUUGGGAAAGAGAGUUCAAGCCUGUGGCAGAAAAACUUCUUGAUAGAAUUCAGAAUCAUCAGUCCUUCCAGCUGUGACUGGCUACUACUCCAUUUUAAUCAGUCAUAUUUUUUUUGGUGCUAUAGAUUGACCAGCUUUACAUUUCUAAUAUACCUGUACUUUGCCAUUGAUCACUAAGAACAAACCACUGAGCAGGGGCUGCUGGGCUCCUGGCUGUGAUCCUGAGGGUCAGCAGCCUCGUGUUGUGCUGUGUGUGUCAGGAGUGCAAGUCUUCCCCUGGCAAUGCCCUCAGAGAGGCUGGAGGAAUUGGUUUGAGGCAGCGAUUUGGAGCUCCCUCAGUGGCACUGCUGUACCUUUGACAUUGCUCUGCUUCCAGGUGAGGAGAUGAAGCAAGGAGGCUGGGAAACACAACUGUGGUAGAAGGGCAGGGAAACUUUCUUUGUAGUUUAGAUCCCUGCUUCUCAGGGACUUCUUUGCUGUUGAUGGGACAGGGGAGGAGAGAUUUCAUGGUCCUGGUUUUGGGAGUGGUGCAGAGGCUCUGUAAGAGCUGCUUGGUAGUCAUCAGGGCUUAUAGCCUGCAGGGGAGGGCAGCCCACACCAGUGGCCAAA